UUAUAGAUGGAUCUGAAUGUAUUUCCUGUUACAGUUGGGUGUCACAUAUAAAUCUUGAAAUUGCCGCGCUUUUGGCAACCAUUAGUAAUUUUUCUUGUGUCGUCAAAGUGUCGUAGAGUUCAACAAUUUAUAAAAAUACAAGUGUGUUUCAACUGUUGAUACUAUUGAUUAAGUGAAAUAUAUUUCGAGUUUGGAAAGUGAUUUAAGAAAUUUAACAACAGUUUAACAUCAUCAAAGUUGCUAGACAUGAUAUCUUAAUUAUAAAGUGGAUAUGAAACUAUUAGAAUGACAAACAUCAAGGCAGAUUACUCUUACACAAAAGUGCAAACACAAAUCUUAUGGUCGUUUCGGGCAGUUGAAUUCCAAGAUCUGGAUAAUGGAUCCCCGGAUGUACUUCCAGAGCUGCUGUUUCGUGAGUCUAUCUUUAUUUCUAUCUCUCACGAUAUCGAUACAUUGUAAAUUCUAUGGUGAACAAAUUCUGUGUUUUAUUAGAAUGCAUUUAUGUGCUUUUAAAAUAUUUUAUUCGUUGUAUUAUCAUAGAAUUUACAUAUUACGAA